CGAGGUGUGGCUCAGUUUGGUAGAGCGCUACGUUCGGGACGUAGAAGUCGGAGGUUCAAAUCCUCUCACCUCGACCA
rnacentral:tRNA from 1 species